rnacentral:rRNA from 1 species
UGGGGAAUUUUGUGCAAUGGGGGAAACCCUGACACAGCGACACCGCGUGAGCGAAGAAGCCCCUUGGGGUGUAAAGCUCUGUCGACAGGGACGAAAAAAAUGACGGUACCUGUAGAGGAAGCAUCGGCUAACUACGUGCCAGCAGCCGCGGUAAGACGUAGGAUGCGAGCGUUGUCCGGAUUUAUUGGGCGUAAAGAGUUCGUAGGCGGUUUGUUAAGUCUGAUGUAAAAGACUGGGGCUCAACCUCGGGACUGCAUUGGAUACUGGCAGACUGGAGUAUGGUAGAGGCAAGUGGAAUUCCCAGUGUAGCGGUGAAAUGCGUAGAUAUUGGGAAGAACACCGGUGGCGCAAGCGACUUGCUGGGCCAUUACUGACGCUGAGGAACGAAAGCUAGGGGAGCGAAUGGGAUUAGAUACCCCCGUAGUCC